CUAGAACGCCCAUAAGACCAAGACUAGAAAAGUAGUGAUAGAGAAGCAAAAGCAUCUACAGGAGGAGCUGGAUGCUCAGAAGAACAUUAUGGAGAAAGAACUAACAGCUGUGAAGUUACAGUUUGAUGAAGAACUGAAAGCCAAGCGGGAAAACUACCAGAAACAACUGGAAGCCCACAAGAGAGAGUGCCAAAAAGAAGUGAAAGAGAAGCAAGAACAUCUACAAGAGGAGCUGGAAGCUCAGCAGAAAACCAUGGAGAAAGAACGGGCAGCAUUGAAGGCAAAGUUUGACAAAGAACUGAAAGCCAAACAGAAAAAAUACCAGAAACAACUGGAUGCCCACAAGACAGAGUACAGACAAGAAAU